CACGGGGGGAGCAAGCGUUGUUCGGAAUCACUGGGCGUAAAGGGCGCGUAGGCGGCCACCGCAAGUCAGUUGUGAAAUCUCUGGGCUUAACCCAGAAAGGUCAACUGAUACUGCGGGGCUAGAGUGCAGAAGGGGCAACUGGAAUUCUCGGUGUAGCGGUGAAAUGCGUAGAUAUCGAGAGGAACACCUGCGGCGAAGGCGGGUUGCUGGGCUGACACUGACGCUGAUGCGCGAAAGCUAGGGGAGCGAACGGG
rnacentral:rRNA from 1 species